GAUGAACGCUAGCUACAGGCUUAACACAUGCAAGUCGAGGGGAAACGACAUCGAAAGCUUGCUUUUGAUGGGCGUCGACCGGCGCACGGGUGAGUAACGCGUAUCCAACCUGCCCACCACUUGGGGAUAACCUUGCGAAAGUAAGACUAAUACCCAAUGACGUCUCUAGGAGACAUCUGAAAGAGAUUAAAGAUUUAUCGGUGAUGGAUGGGGAUGCGUCUGAUUAGCUUGUUGGCGGGGUAACGGCCCACCAAGGCGACGAUCAGUAGGGGUUCUGAGAGGAAGGUCCCUCACAUUGGAACUGAGACACGGUCCAAACUCCUACGGGAGGCAGCAGUGAGGAAUAUUGGUCAAUGGGCGAGAGCCUGAACCAGCCAAGUAGCGUGCAGGAUGACGGCCCUAUGGGUUGUAAACUGCUUUUAUAAGGGAAUAAAGUGAGUCUCGUGAGACUUUUUGCAUGUACCUUAUGAAUAAGGACCGGCUAAUUCCGUGCCAGCCGCCGCAGUAA
rnacentral:rRNA from 1 species